rnacentral:rRNA from 1 species
GCAUAAUCAUUUGCCUUUUAAUUGAUGGCCAGUAUGAAUGGUACAAUGAGAGUAAAGCUGUCUCCUUACUACUCUGCUGAAAUUAACCUCUAGGCGAAAAGGCCUAAAUAAAAAUACAAGACAAAUAGACCCUAUCGAACUUUAAGUGUUAAAAGGCAACCUACUAAAAAUAACAAACCUUAAAGCUUUUAGUUGGGGCAACUGAGGAACAAAUAAAGCUUCCUUUUAUUAUUAUAACCCUCAAGUAGAGGCCCGGGAAUUAUUCCCGAUAAGCGGAAAAAGUUACCGUAGGGAUAACAGCGUAAUUCCCCUGGUGAGCCCUUAUUAAAAGGGGAGUUUGCGACCUCGAUGUUGGAUUAAGAUAUCCUAAAAGUGCAGCAGCCUUUAAGGGUUGGUUUGUUCAACCAUUAAAAUCUUACAU